AAGUCGUAACAAGGUUUCCGUAGGUGAACCUGCGGAAGGAUCAAAAAACACCCCUGUGAACCCGUUAAACUUGCUCCUCAGGCCCUGCACGCCUAGCAAUCCCUGGUAAAUCAUUGUCUGACCAGUUUUUGAGUCAGGGACUUCUGACGUGACGCGAAGAAUGUCUGGAAAAAUGGCAUCUGCGUGAGAUGAAGCUAUGAGGUAAGAUGCACUUGUGCUCCCCAAGUACCCAUGUUUCUGAAAGCGGGACAUGGAAUACGUAAGGAGCGACGCUGUAACGUUUGCUGUAGGCCCACACGGCCGGCAUCAUGGUGCCUGGACUUCUGUCCCACAGAUCGGUUAGAUCCCGGUCCUGAUGUCAAUUUAGCGAGGACUAAAAGCCUUGCACCAAAAACCGAACAACUGUUAACAAUGGAUAUCUUGGUUCUC
rnacentral:misc_RNA from 1 species